UACGGAGGGGGCUAGCGUUGUUCGGAAUUACUGGGCGUAAAGCGCGCGUAGGCGGACCUGCAAGUCGGGGGUGAAAGCCCGAGGCUCAACCUCGGAACUGCCUUCGAUACUGCGGGUCUCGAGUCCGGGAGAGGUGAGUGGAAUUCCUAGUGUAGAGGUGAAAUUCGUAGAUAUUAGGAAGAACACCAGUGGCGAAGGCGGCUCACUGGCCCGGUACUGACGCUGAGACGCGAAAGCGUGGGGAGCGAACAGG
rnacentral:rRNA from 1 species